rnacentral:lncRNA from 1 species
UAUCUUCUAUUUUUUCUAACUUGUGUCUCAGAAUUUGCUCAUAUGCUAUAUCCUCUCAGUGAGUGCUUCCUUACAACAGUUUUCUACGUCUCCCACGACAUUCUUGCUCCAAUCCCACAGCUCACUAGCAACCUCCCGAACAGCAUCUCUAACUCUUCCUGCUCUACAUUGAGUUGUUAAUUUCCAGAUGCUCUCAAUAAUUGUAACACACUGGUUCCUCCUGUAUCCGGCCGGCUGGCCACGAAACAGAAAAAAAAAACACGGUCCUGUCCACCAAGCAAC